GAUGAACGCUGACAGAAUGCUUAACACAUGCAAGUCUUUGGCGAAUCUGUGCUUGCACAGGCUAGCCAAGGCGGACGGGUGAGUAACGCGUAAAGAACUUGCCCUGCAGACAGGGAUAACAGACGGAAACGACUGAUAACACCUGAUACAGUUGCCGGCACGCAUGUGCCUGGCAAUGAAAAGAGAUGCUGCAGGAGAGCUUUGCGUCCUAUUAGCUUGUUGGUGAGGUGACGGCUCACCAAGGCGAUGAUAGGUAGCCGGCCUGAGAGGGUGAACGGCCACAAGGGGACUGAGAUACGGCCCUUACUCCUACGGGAGGCAGCAGUGGGGAAUAUUGGACGAUGGGGGCAACCCUGAUCCAGCAAUUCUGUGUGCACGAAGAAGGUUUUCGGAUUGUAAAGUGCUUUCAGCAGGGAAGAAGAAAGUGACGGUACCUGCAGAAGAAGCGACGGCUAAAUACGUG
rnacentral:rRNA from 1 species